GGAGGAGAAAAAAAAAAUAAAAAAUGAAAAUAACACUGAAUAAAAUUGCAGAAAUUAUGGAUAUCUUAUACAAAUAUUAUCUUCGAUUGCGGAAUAUGUGGUAAUCUUUUUUUUGCUACAAAGCAAUCAUGGGACGUUAUAGUAAACAAAGUACAAACUGAUGAAUGGACUCGUCGUAAACAGAAUGACAAUAACUUUUCUCGUU
rnacentral:lncRNA from 1 species